rnacentral:rRNA from 1 species
GAUGAACGCUGGCGGCGUGCCUAAUACAUGCAAGUCGAGCGAACGGACGAGAAUCUUUCUUCUCUUAUGUUAGCGGCGGACGGGUGAGUAACACGUGGAUAACCGGCCUAUAAGACUGGGGUAACUUCGGGGAACCGGAUCUAAUACCGGAUAAUAUUUUGAACCGCAUGGUUCUAAAGUGAAAGACGGUCUUGCUGUCACUUAUAGAUGUAUCCUCGCUGCAUUAGCUAGUUGGUAAGGUAACGGCUUACCAAGGCUACGAUGCAUAGCCGAUCUGAGAGGAUGAUCAGCCACACUGGAACUGAGACACGGUCCAGACUCCUACGGGAGGCAGCAGUAGGGAAUAUUCGGCAAUGGGCGAAAGCCUGACGGAGCCACGCCGCGUGAGUGAUGAAGGUCUUCGGAUCGUAAAGCUCUGUUAUUAGGGAAGAACAUCAGUGUAUGUAAAUGUGGCCAUCUUGACGUUACCAACUCAGAAAGCAACGGCUAACUUCGUG